CAGUAGCCGCUGGAAUACGGAGGGUGCAAGCGUUAAUCGGAAUUACUGGGCGUAAAGCGCACGCAGGCGGUUUGUUAAGUCAGAUGUGAAAUCCCCGAGCUUAACUUGGGAACUGCAUUUGAGACUGGCAAGCUAGAGUCUUGUAGAGGAUAGUGGAAUUUCCGGUGUAGCAGUGAAAUGCGUAGAGAUCGGGAGGAACAUCAGUGGCGAAGGCGGCCAUCUGGGACAACACUGACGCUGAAGCACGAAAGCGUGGGGAGCAAACAGGAUUAGAUACCCCUGUAGUCCCUGUCUCUUAUAC
rnacentral:rRNA from 1 species